AAGUCUGACGGAGCAACGCCGCGUGAGUGAUGAAGGCUUUCGGGUCGUAAAACUCUGUUGUUAGGGAAGAACAAGUGCUAGUUGAAUAAGCUGGCACCUUGACGGUACCUAACCAGAAAGCCACGGCUAACUACGUGCCAGCAGCCGCGGUAAUACGUAGGUGGCAAGCGUUAUCCGGAAUUAUUGGGCGUAAAGCGCGCGCAGGUGGUUUCUUAAGUCUGAUGUGAAAGCCCACGGCUCAACCGUGGAGGGUCAUUGGAAACUGGGAGACUUGAGUGCAGAAGAGGAAAGUGGAAUUCCAUGUGUAGCGGUGAAAUGCGUAGAGAUAUGGAGGAACACCAGUGGCGAAGGCGACUUUCUGGUCUGUAACUGACACUGAGGCGCGAAAGCGUGGGGAGCAAACAGGAUUAGAUACCCUGGUAGUCCACGCCGUAAACGAUGAGUGCUAAGUGUUAGAGGGUUUCCGCCCUUUAGUGCUGAAGUUAACGCAUUAAGCACUCCGCCUGGGGAGUACGGCCG
rnacentral:rRNA from 1 species